UACAUGUGGGGCAAGCGUUGUUCGGAAUUACUGGGCCUAAAGGGUGCGUAGGUGGCUUGUUAAGUCAGGGGUGAAAGUUUUCGGCCCAACCGGAAAAUGGCCUUUGAUACUGGCGAGCUCGAGUGCGUGAGGGGUAACCGGAACGAGCAGUGUAGCGGUGAAAUGCGUAGAUAUUGCUCGGAAGGCCAACGGCGAAGGCAGGUUACUGGUACGCAACUGACACUGAGGCACGAAGGCCAGGGGAGCAAACGGG
rnacentral:rRNA from 1 species